rnacentral:lncRNA from 12 species
AAUUACUACUCCCUGAACUCCAACCAAGACCUGGUCAGAAGGCAGUAGGUCUGUUCAGGGAGCCAACAGGAAGCUCUCCCCGACUUGAGCCAGUUGGAUAGUGAUGAAGCUUGCUUCAGCUGGAAGUCAUUUGUACUUUUCCUCAGACUAAUCAGAAUCAGUGGCUUAUGAGAGCACACCAAAGGUGAUCUUGCUUACUCUGAUCUGCCGUAGGUGCGGAAGUCCAGCUGCUCAAAUAUUUAAGGGAAGUACCUGGAGUUGUCUGGUUUGCUUUGAUGGAGAACAGAGUCAGAAAGAAAGAACUGCCCACAGAAUGGAAAAAUGAGAAUUUGAGGUGUGGUACAUUUACGAAAGGUCAUCAGUGCUUUCCAAAAUUCCACUAGGAAAUAUGGAAGUUGGAAGAAGUUUGCUAGCUAGGGAUGACCCAUCCCUGGAAAUCCUAUCUCUGGUGAUUCUACGUAACAGCCCAACACCAUGCAGAUUUGCUCAGCCUUCUGGGAGAAGUGAUCACCUCAGAGUAGAGAAGGACCAAGUGUCUGCUGGAACCAUCACCAGGAAGGCAGCAGGAUUGCCCAACAACAAAGAUCACGGGCUUGGGAGGUAAAAGUGAAAACUCAGAAUCAUACACAGCAUCCCCUUCCUUUUUUUUUUUUUUUUUUUAAAUUUUUAUUUAUUUAUGAUAGUCACAGAGAGAGAGACAGAGAGAGAGAGGCAGAGACACAGGCAGAGGGAGAAGCAGGCUCCAUGCACCGGAAGCCCGAUGUGGGAUUUGAUCCCGGGUCUCCAGGAUCGCGCCCUGGGCCAAAGGCAGGCGCCAAACCGCUGCGCCACCCAGGGAUCCCCAGCAUCCCCUUCCUAAUCAAACGCUGCAGAAUAGUAAUCUUGAGCUUAUACGAACUGUUG